AGGCCUUCCUGCAUAACCACAGCCGCCACAUCGGCGCUCCAGGCUGGGUCACAGGCUUGCUCGAUGCGCUCCAGAACCACACUGUCCCACUGUUUUUUGGCCAGGGUGAACUGGCGGUUGGGCUCCAGCUCGAUGGUGUGUCUCGAGGCGCGCCGCGCAAAAUCGGCUCGAGAGACACCGCUGCGAGCACCUUUCUCUCCGCGGUUCCUGCUGCUGUACAGACCAAGGCUGAUGCAACGAGGGCGCAUGCGCAGCCCGCGUCCUGCCUCCCGGCGCACGGCUUACGUCCCCAAGGAGGAGGCGGGGCCGCAGCUUGCGCGUGCGCAAACGCGUUAAGCCCGGAGGUGUUUUCCGAAGAAUAAACCACCUAAGGAAAGCACACGGAGUCUUUGGUGGCGAGUCUUUGGUAUUAGUGCUGAACUUGGACUUCCUAAGUUUUUUCUUCCACCCCUGUUUGUGAAGAAUCUGGGGAGUUGUGAGUGCAAAUAUAUAUAUAUAUAUAUAAAGCUGUGUGCUACACCUUCUCCCUAUGGAUAAUUCUAGUUACGGAAAAGUAAUAACUUAUGGAAAAGUAAAAGGGCUCUGAAAAGUGCAGACUUGGCACCAAGGGCCAAACUACGCCCCGCCUUGCUCCUGCCUCAUCCCCAGUCAGACGGUGCACGCUUUUUGGAGCUGCUCAGUCCAGAAGCUGUUUCUUAAGAACGUCUGGUCACGGGGCAUCUGCACUGAGUAACGUGCCCAGCUGCUUUCUGCUCUCAGUUGACCAAGUGUGCACGAUCUGAUUAACCCAGAUGUUAAAACACUGAUCCCAGAGAGAGAAGAAACCAUCUGUGGAAUUUACCCCUGGAUGGACCUCUCAGUUGCUUUGAUCUGAUGUCCUGAGAACCCCAGAAGCCAAGGUUGGCAGUCUCAGCUUUCCGCUGCUCAGCAGCCUGUGAAAUGUUUACGGUAGGGGUUGGGUCUCAACAGUUUAGGACCGGAUCUUCAUUGUCAGAGCUGAGCUGAGACCCCAGGACUGGGGAAGUGGAGGAAGGACUGAUUUACCCUGACUGAACAGCUGCAGAAUUCAUUUGAAAAAAAAUCCUUAAGUCACUUAACAUUUUGGGAUGAAGGAGAGGCGGGGAGAAUUUGAAAGGUGGGAACUGCCUCUUAAAAGGACCAGUGAAUCGAAAAAAACCCACCAAAGUUUUGAGAGUUAAGAUGGCUUGGAGGGCAGAGGGCACAAAUCUUCCCCAUUGGCCUUCCUAUGUUAUUGGGUAGGGCAUUGGAAGGGAAACUUAACCACCCUAAAAUGUAAGACUGGGAUGAAGGGGUGUAAUAUGACUUUGGCACAGAUCUUGAUACCCAAAUCUCAAUUAACUUCUUCAAAGGUUGUCUGGGGGGAACACAAAGGUCCCCUCCAAAACUCUAGUGCAAAUUAGAACAGUUUUUUUUUUUUUUUGGUGGCAUCUCCUCUCCCUUGCCCUUUCUGUACCUCCUUCUUUUGCCACCUUCUAUCAUACUGAGUGCCCUCCCAAAGUUCCUGAGACUGCCUUCUUCUUCCAGAACUCAAGAACUUUACAUUGAACAAAGAACUGAUUACACUAAAGUGAGUAUGGCUUUUGUCUCCAACAGACAUGGAUCUUUUUAAAAGGUGCUUGUUAAGCUUGAAGAAUUCUUAACUAGUAGUGUGUGUGUGUGUGUGUGUGUGUGUGUGUGAGAGAGAGAGAGAGAGAGAGGUGGUGGGUAAAGAAGGAGGAAGAGAUGCUUUGAUAUGCUCCUUGGUCACCUUUUUAAGUAUAAUCAUUCCCCCUCUUGAAAAUCUGCCAAGGAUCAAAAACCACAGUGAUAGGUACACAGGGUCCUUAAUACAUGUUAGGUUUUUAGUGAAGAGCUAUCACUUCUUGAAUAUUCACCAGGUACUUCCUAUGCUUUUUCCAGUUCUUACCUAUAAGGUAAAUAUUUGUUAUUCUCAUACAUAAAUGAAGAAAAUGAAUUAGAGAGGUUAAGGGAUGUAUUCAAGGUCACAUAACCAGUAUUCAAAUCCAAGCCUGCUUAAUUCCACACUCAUUCCACCAACACAAAUCUAAAUUUAUGGACACUUGAAAUCAUCCCUUAAACUCCGAAGGUUAUGUGUAGUUGUUUAGUCGCUCAGUCAUGUCCGACUCUUUGGGACCCCAUGGACUGCAGCACACCAGGCUUCCCUCUCAUCCACUAUCUCCUGGAGUUUGCUCAAAUUUAUGUUCAUUAAGUCACUGAUGCUAUCUAACCAUCUCAUCCUCUCCUGUUAUUUCCUCUUAAUUCUCACCUUUAUCAGUUAAACUAAGACUCACAGCUUAGAAGUCAACCUGGGGCAUUGAAAGGAAGAUUCCUUCCUUGCUCUUUUAUUACUAAAACAAAAAAGUCCUUAUAUUCUUUUCAACAUAAUUUUCCUUCUGCUCGGCCUUGGUCACCAUUGUAAUUCUUGAGAAAGAUCAAAUAUCCUACCUUAGAAAAAUAAAUAUGUAUUUCUACAUUGCAAAUUAA